rnacentral:rRNA from 1 species
UACGGGGGGGGCAAGCGUUGUUCGGAAUUACUGGGCGUAAAGGGCUCGUAGGUGGCCAAUUAAGUCAGACGUGAAAUCCCCAGGCUCAACCUGGGAACUGCGUCUGAUACUGGUUGGCUUGAAUUCGGGAGAGGGAUGCAGAAUUCCAGGUGUAGCGGUGAAAUGCGUAGAUAUCUGGAGGAAUACCGGUGGCGAAGGCGGCAUCCUGGACCGAGAUUGACACUGAGGAGCGAAAGCGUGGGGAGCAAACAGG